AAAAAAAAAAAUGUCCCAAACGCACGAGGAUUGAUUUAUCAUCGCAGCCGGAGUGGAAUGGGAAGAAGCCAUCGCUGCUCGCCUGCUCCCCACGACAGCUCGCCCGCCAUUCGCUUAAUUAAAAUCAUAUAUUGGUGUGAUCAGACGUGGUAAUACCAUUAAAAAAACCCAAAUCCCGUAACAUCCACACGCUCGUUGUUGGAGGCUGUAGCCCAGAGAUGUAGAUUUUCCUUGGGAGAUUUGGGAAGGAUUAUUUUUUAAUGGAAAAAAGGAAAAAAAUUACACCCAGAAAAAAAAAACAAAAAACAAAACCAAAACAAAGAAUGAAAAAGAAACAAAAAGGAAAAAAGCACAACAGAACCAAACCGCAUGCUGGAAUCUGCAUUGGCAGGUGUGCAAAUGUGGAGACUGUAAAAGCAGCAAGUGAGGAUGGAUGAGCUGUUUUCUGGGGUCAUAUCCAACUCCAGAGAAGAAACCCUGGUGAUUUAUAAUUUUUUUCUUGUCUCUGCCUGGAUGGCCACAGUCCUGUCUAGUGAUGAAAGCCCUGUGUUUGGGGAGAACCCUUGUGAGGUGAGCAGACACAGCUCUCUGGCACAGGAGUUUGGGAGCAAGGGGAAGCAGGACAGAAGCUGGCACUGUGAUAUUCCUGUGAUUUUUUAUUUUUUCCAGCAGGCUAAAAAAAGGGUGUUCUUUUUAAUAUUUCUUUCUACCACACCAUAAGCAAGAGUAACUCUUUUGCAAUGCUUUGUUGUCACGUAGGUUUUGGUAACGUGGCUUAACCAUCACACUGGGUUCUGCUGCUGAAGAACCCUCUUUUUUAGAAGGAAUUUUAAAAAUAGAAAUGUGCUUUUAUAUAGAGAUAAAAGUGGGUUCAAUGUCAACUGAAGGCCAGGGGCCCCUGUAUCCUGGGCUGUGGGAUGUGACUGUGUUAAACCACUGGCUAAAAUGGUGGCAUUUGGUGGCAGCUCCUGUCCCUGGCAUCGUGGAUAAGAACACCACAGGGAAGAGAGUCAGAAAAUAAAUUACUAAAUGUUGCAUUUCA
rnacentral:lncRNA from 1 species